rnacentral:rRNA from 2 species
GAACGCUGGUCGCAGGCCUAACACAUGCAAGUCGAGCGCUCGUGGCAACACGGGAGCGGCAGACUGGUCAGUAACACGUGGGAACGUGCCCUUCGGUUCGGAAUAACCCAGGGAAACUUGGAUUAAUACCGGAUACGUCCGCAAGGAGAAAGAUUUAUCGCCGAAGGAGCGGCCCGCGUCCGAUUAGCUUGUUGGUGAGGUAAUGGCUCACCAAGGCGACGAUCGGUAGCUGGUCUGAGAGGAUGAUCAGCCACACUGGGACUGAGACACGGCCCAGACUCCUACGGGAGGCAGCAGUGGG